AGGUCAUUUCAAAGCGAACUUCUGGAGCUGUGACACCAAGAGCUCUUAAUGCUGAGACCAAAGACUGAUGUUCCCCACAGGAUGCCAGUCACUCAAUUCUGCUGUGUUUUCCUAAGGAGACAUAAGA